CGUUACUUCCGUUUGCUGAAAGAAGGCCUUGUUGUCACAGUACGUGAAGUAAAGAACAUUAAUUGUGUCAUUACAAUGCAACAUGACAACUGGUGUGAUGCAUUAGGCAGCGAAUUAAAAUUCAGUUCUUGAAAGUGAUGUGUUAGAAGCGGGAAAAAUGAGAAGGCUCCUGCAACGGACCGCCGGAAAACUAAUAAUGAAGUUAAGAUCAUGUUGAUGGCCAGGUGCAUGUACGUCGUUUAUGGGCAUGCCUAGGCUCCUGUCAUGCCGACAAAACAGCUUUCAGCCUUUGAGGCAUGAACUCCACAAGACUCCUGAAGGUGUCCUGUUGUAUCUGGCACCAAGACGUUAGCAGCACAUCCUUUAAGUCUUGUAAGUUGCAAGGCAAGCAGAAAAUGUGCUGUAAUGGAUAAGAUGUUGGAUUUUAAACUGCAGGAAAGCCUUCAACUGUAUGCUCCCAAGCAAAUUAUUUAACUUCCCAAGCUCCAGUUUGUGCAAACAUUUACAAUUUAUCUUGUUCUUGUAAGUCACCUUGAGUAAUGCCAUCUGCAAAAUAAUCUAAACUAUAUAUCAAAAAAUUAAAGGAUAUGUGAAAACAAUAUUAAAUGUAUAUCAAAUAGGAAAUACAUGCUGUAUAAUUUAAAGCAAAAAUAUGUUAUCUGUUAUUUUUUCCCAAAAUGAAAGAUGAUUAUUUUUAAAAAUUCUGAAGGUUUAUUUUGUGUAUACCGGUAUGUUUCACUUUGGUCCUGUUUGCUAUUAUUGCCAAUUAUGUUCAGGUUGCACAGGCUAUGGUUAUUCUUAUCAUAAUCUCUAUUUUCUCAGAGUAAAGUGAGGAAAAUCUGGAAACAACAACAUUAAAGA